CCUACGGGUGGCAGCAGUGGGGAAUAUUGGACAAUGGGCGAAAGCCUGAUCCAGCCAUGCCGCGUGUGUGAAGAAGGCCUUCGGGUUGUAAAGCACUUUCAGUGGGGAAGAAAGCCUUGGGGCUAAUACCCUCGAGGAAGGACAUCACCCACAGAAGAAGCACCGGCUAACUCCGUGCCAGCAGCCGCGGUAAUACGGAGGGUGCGAGCGUUAAUCGGAAUUACUGGGCGUAAAGCGCGCGUAGGCGGUCUGAUAAGCCGGUUGUGAAAGCCCCGGGCUCAACCUGGGAACGGCAUCCGGAACUGUUAGGCUAGAGUGCAGGAGAGGAAGGUAGAAUUCCCGGUGUAGCAGUGAAAUGCGUAGAGAUCGGGAGGAAUACCAGUGGCGAAGGCGGCCUUCUGGACUGACACUGACGCUGAGGUGCGAAAGCGUGGGUAGCAAACAGGAUUAGAUACCCUAGUAGUC
rnacentral:rRNA from 1 species